CUGGGGAGAGCACCCCUUAACCCCAAUUUGCUUGGAAUGUUCCAUAAUCUAUAUGUGCUCUUGCCAGUUCAUUGGGUUCCAUCAUUUCCUUACCCCUUCCCAGUCUAGCUGGAUUGCAGAGUUAAGUUUAUGAUUAUGAAAUAAAA